GGAUGUGGGGGUGAUCCGCCUGUGACAUCUGUCACCCCAUUGAUCUCCAGAGUUGAUCCUGCUGAUCUGGCUAGCUAGGCGGGUGCCCCCUUCCUUGCUCACAGCUCCAUGUGCGCCCCUCCCAAAACUGCACUCUCUGUCAAAGAGGACGACCUGCCCUGAAUAGUCUCCUGCCAAGGGUAUAUGAAUAGCUACGCUCCCCUGCUAGAACCUCCAAACAAGUUCUCAAGGAUGGAAAGGGAGGUUAAGGAGACUCUCAAAUCAUACUUUGUUGAAUGCAUAGUUUU
rnacentral:snRNA from 1 species